rnacentral:RNase_P_RNA from 1 species
UGGAGAGAAAGCAUGGCUUCCGCGGGUAUCACUCGAUACGCGUGAGGAAAGUCCCCCCACCGCCAAGCGGGUGGCCAGGCACAAGCCUGGGGCAGGAGACUGCCGGCUCUGGAACAGAAACGACACGUCUUCCCGUAACCAAUGAGGCUUGCGAACGACUCCGAAAGGAUCAGGAGCUAACCAGCCGAGGAUAGAUCAGGAAGGAUCGAUGGAACGGCGAAACCCCACUGGUGCAAGUCGGCGCCAAAAAGGUAGCUUGGCAGUGGUGCCGACGCUUAGCUAAAUGCCAAAAACAGAAGGGGGCUUACUCUUCUCACCA